UAAUUCCAAUAAAUGUCAUUUUCCAGGCCACUUAAAAUUGAGACACAGUAUAUUAAGCAGUUUUUGUAAGGUGUUAGAAUAAAACUUCAAUAAUAUCAGAAACAGAAAUGUAGAGGAUGCAUGAGGAACUUACUGGAUUUUAUGACUUCAUCAUUAUGUUAUUUAUUACUUCUGAUAAAUAGGCUUGCUUCAUCUGAAUGCAAAGUAAUAUAUAACCUGGCAUUUUUAAAGUUUUUUUUGUUUUUGGCACGAGAGUAUCACAGGAAAUUCAAAGGUUUAACUGCGUAAGAAACAACUGCAAAACCAGUGGCUAAAAACAAUAAAGAAUUAUUAGGUAAUGAUGUGGGUUGGAAAUUUUCCUGGGAUCUGCUGGACCUUGCUUUGCUGCUGUUGCCUUGACUCACUUGUGCAGCGCCACUCUGCUUGGAACUUCCCUGAUAAGCUAGCAGAUGGCUUGGGCAUUCAGGAAACUGAGCCAUGAGUAUCCAAAAGCAAUGAGAAAGGACAUCUACCAAUGAGCAAUCACUGCCCAAGCCUCUUCCUGUCACAUUUAGAAAUCUCUUAUUAUAUAAGCCAAAACAAGUUACAUGGUCAAGAUUUGAGAUGGGGAGCUCAACUCCACUUCUUGCUGGGAAGAGUGGAAAAAGUCAUGUUACAGAGAGCUAAAUCCUAAUGAAUAGUAAAUAAUAAUUUAUUAAAUUGUCUUUGCCUCUUUUUUUUACCUUCUCUUUAUUAGUCACCAUCAAUUUAGAGGGUGGUAGCUUUCUUUAGUAAUUCAGUAUGCAAAAAUUGUUUGAAAUUAUAGCCCUGGCAAUGUUAUAAAUAUAUUUAAUUCAUGUUAUCCCUAUAGGAUAAUAUAUUUAAUCAUGUUAUCCCUAUAGGAUUACCAAGUCAGAACACUGCUUUCUAUUUUCAUCACAAAAAGAAUAAAAUGCAUAAUAAUUUUUAUCAUUGAAAUGUUUUUAUUGACACAUAUCAGUUUUGUGAAUGGGAAUUUUAUGUAACUCAAAACUGCAUACUAGAAAAUUUCCUACGUACAUUUUAAAAAGAUAUUGUGACUGCCUUUAAAAUUAUUUUAAUUGAUUCAAUUUAGAAGACAUUUAUUGAUUAUCUGCUCUGUUCAAGCAAUUGUUCAGGCCAUGGGGAUGAAUAUGGGAGGAACAUACCUGUGUAUGUGGAGGUUGUUUUUUGGUAGGAGAUUCAAUCAGUAACAAAUAUUGAAAGAAACAGCAUCAGGUUCUUUCUAAUUAUCAUGCUAUCACAAUUAGAAAGCUUACAAAGUGUCAUUAGCCCUUACAAUAUGUCUGAUUUUUUUAGCCCCAAACACAACCGUGUAAAGUCAAUUAAGUUAUUAGAUAAGUGAUUUAUGAUACGAACCCCUUCCAUCCACAGGAAACAUGUUGAAGUGAAUUGAAAAAAGAAACUACUGUUUAUAUGCUAAAUGUUCAAAAAUGUAUGUUUAGUAAUCCAUCUCAGUGAUUUAAUAACUGGUUUAUAUUUGGAAAUGAUUGAUCUAGUAUCUUUAUGUUAUAAUUGUACAUGAGGCAUACCUUCGUGCAUAAUUGAACAACAAUAAAGCAAAGAGUUUUAUUUCUUUUAUCUUUCUAAAAUUCAAAAUUUGGCAAUAUGUGAAUGAGAA
rnacentral:lncRNA from 10 species